UACAGAGGUCCCAAGCGUUGUUCGGAAUCACUGGGCGUAAAGCGCACGUAGGCGGAUUGUUAAGUCGGGGGUGAAAUCCUGAGGCUCAACCUCAGAACUGCCUUCGAUACUGGCAAUCUCGAGUCCGGAAGAGGUUGGUGGAACAGCUAGUGUAGAGGUGAAAUUCGUAGAUAUUAGCUAGAACACCAGUGGCGAAGGCGGCCAACUGGUCCGGUACUGACGCUGAGGUGCGAAAGCGUGGGGGAGCAAACAGGG
rnacentral:rRNA from 1 species